GGUUGUAAACGCACCAAUCAGUGCCCUGUCAAAACAGUCCACUGGGCUCUACCAAUCAGCAGGAUGUGGGUGGGGCCAGAUAGGAGAACAAAAGCAGGCUGCCCGAGCUAGCAGUGGCAACAUGCUCAGGUCUCUUACCACGCUGUGGAAGCUUUGUUCUUUCGCUCUUUGCAAUGAAUCCUGCUGCUGCUCACUCUUUGGGUCCACACUGCCUUUAUGAGCUGUAACACUCACUGUGAAGGUCCGCAGCUUCCCUCCUGAGCCAGCGAGACCAGGAACCCACCAGAAGGAAGAAACUCAGAACACAUCCCAACAUCAGAAGGAACAAACUCCAGACGCGCCACCUUAAGAGCUGUAACACUCACCGCGAGGGUCUGCGGCUUCAUUCUUCAAGUCAGUGAGACCAAGAACCCACCAAUUCCGGACACACCAAGUCCUGAGUUCAGAAUUUUGUUUUUGAGAUGAACAUAAAAGCACCUAAAGGUCAAGGAAGAUGUUCUUCCUGUGAUAAGGAACACAAAGCCUGUUUGGUGGUCUCUUCACACGGAAGCGCAUGACACUUCGCUUUAGUGUAGAUGACCACUCCCCUCUGUAAGAGUCCAUUCUAAGUUGUUCUGUCAGUGAAACUCUGUUUAAAACAUGGCUUGUAUGAAGUUGUCAGGAAUCGGCUCUGACACUUGGAUGAUUCUUCAGCUGGCUAUAAAAUUCUAAAAUCAGAGUAACCGUGUAUUGACUUCCAACAUUCCACAUUUCCAAAGGUGUUUCCUGUGAUCUCUGGGAUCCUGAUCCGCACCACUCAACUUUGGCCUCCUAAACUUCAUCCUUGACCCCACCCCAGGUAGGAAGGAUGUGUGGAUAUUUCUUUUAUCUUUCUGCAACGAUGACCUUUUGGAGAAAAAGAAAGGAAGCAGGACCUCUUGACCAGAAUUUAUCCAGCACUCCAGCACGGCUUGCACGUUAUCUGGAGUAAAGAGACCUUCU
rnacentral:lncRNA from 10 species